rnacentral:rRNA from 1 species
GACGAACGCUGGCGGCGUGCUUAACACAUGCAAGUCGAGCGGAAAGGCCCUUCGGGGUACUCGAGCGGCGAACGGGUGAGUAACACGUGAGUAACCUGCCCCAGACUUUGGGAUAACCCUCGGAAACGGGGGCUAAUACCGGAUACGACACAGCUUCGCAUGGGGUCUGUGUGGAAAGUUUUUCGGUUUGGGAUGGGCUCGCGGCCUAUCAGCUUGUUGGUGGGGUGAUGGCCUACCAAGGCGACGACGGGUAGCCGGCCUGAGAGGGCAACCGGCCACACUGGGACUGAGACACGGCCCAGACUCCUACGGGAGGCAGCAGUGGGGAAUAUUGCACAAUGGGCGGAAGCCUGAUGCAGCGACGCCGCGUGAGGGAUGACGGCCUUCGGGUUGUAAACCUCUUUCAGCAGGGACGAAGCGUAAGUGACGGUACCUGCAGAAGAAGCGCCGGCCAACUACGUG